UACGGGGGGGGCAAGCGUUGUUCGGAAUUACUGGGCGUAGAGGGCGCGUAGGCGGUUUGCUAAGUUGAAUGUGAAAACUCUGGGCUUAACCCAGAGCCUGCAUUCAAUACUGGCAGGCUAGAGUUCUGGAGGGGAUAGCGGAAUUCCUGGUGUAGCGGUGAAAUGCGUAGAUAUCAGGAGGAACACCGGUGGCGAAGGCGGCUAUCUGGACAGAGUCUGACGCUGAGGCGCGAAAGCUAGGGGAGCAAACAGG
rnacentral:rRNA from 1 species